UUUGAAUAUUCUUUGCUGUUUAUCUCCUUCGACUGAUCCCCCCCCCCGAGUGGUGUUUUGCGCACCUGAUGCAAAUGUCUCAUCAUCCCCUUUUUGCGCUCCAGCUUUUGGAUACAAAAGGAUUCAAACCCGAGGUGGAAAUGGAUUCUCCGAGACGAGCUGCUGUCAUGGAGAGAAGAAUGAGCUCCAUCACAUGACGGACGACGUGCCGCGGCGGUUCAAAGACUCAUCAGUCAGCCAGUGCAGGGCAGAGGAUGUUCCAACAACAGAAAUCGGUCCAUGCCUAAUCGCUUACACAGCCAACUGCAAGAGGAGAUGCAGAUCACAGCAGUGUGGCAGCUGGGACUCUUCCACAAGAUGAAGUUCAUACAAUAACUAUAGAAAUGAAGAAUAGAAUACAAGAUAAAGUGUCUCCGGAGUUCUUCUGUCUGUGAGUACUACAAAAAGUCCAGCAGUCCCUGUGCUGACAGCCCAGGCCCACACUGAGCCUCCUGCGCGCUAUGGCUCCCCCUAGCCGUGCCUCCAUAUUUCCUUGUUAAUGCACACCAUAAUGCCCUGACCCUCCCUGCUCUAUAACACCAUAAACACAGCAAAAUAUACCUGAAAACCCGACUUUUUAUGUCUAAAUGUGGAGUUUAUAGUCUCCAAAUGCCUUCCAGCCAACAUUGGGCACCACUGGCCCCAGCAACAGAGAGGAUU